UACGUAGGGUGCAAGCGUUUGUCCGGAAUCAUUGGGCGUAAAGAGCGCGUAGGCGGCCAGAUAAGUCCGGUGUGAAAGUCAAAGGCUCAACCUUUGAAUGCCGCUGGAAACUGUCUGGCUAGAGUCCGGGAGGGGCGAGUGGAAUUCCUGGUGUAGCGGUGAAAUGCGCAGAUAUCAGGAGGAACACCAAUGGCGAAGGCAGCUCGCUGGAACGGUACUGACGCUGAGGCGCGAAAGCGUGGGGGAGCAAACAGG
rnacentral:rRNA from 1 species